rnacentral:rRNA from 1 species
GAUGAACGCUGGCGGCGUGCCUAAUACAUGCAAGUCGAGCGAACAGACGAGGAGCUUGCUCCUCUGACGUUAGCGGCGGACGGGUGAGUAACACGUGGAUAACCUACCUAUAAGACUGGGAUAACUUCGGGAAACCGGAGCUAAUACCGGAUAAUAUAUUGAACCGCAUGGUUCAAUAGUGAAAGACGGUUUUGCUGUCACUUAUAGAUGGAUCCGCGCCGCAUUAGCUAGUUGGUAAGGUAACGGCUUACCAAGGCAACGAUGCGUAGCCGACCUGAGAGGGUGAUCGGCCACACUGGAACUGAGCCACGGUCCAGACUCCUACGGGAGGCAGCAGUAGGGAAGCUUCCGCAAUGGGCGAAAGCCUGACGGAGCAACGCCGCGUGAGUGAUGAAGGUCUUCGGAUCGUAAAACUCUGUUAUUAGGGAAGAACAAAUGUGUAAGUAACUAUGCACGUCUUGACGGUACCUAAUCAGAAAGCCACGGCUAACUACGUG